CGUGAAGUCGGAAUCGCUAGUAAUCGCGGAUCAGCAUGCCGCGGUGAAUACGUUCCCGGGCCUUGUACACACCGCCCGUCACACCAUGAGAGUCGGGAACACCCGAAGCCCGUAGCCUAACAGCAAUGAGGGCGCGGUCGAAGGUGGGUUCGAUAAUUGGGGUGAAGUCGUAACAAGGUAGC
rnacentral:rRNA from 1 species